UAAUUGAAGAGUUUGAUCAUGGCUCAGAUUGAACGCUGGCGGCAGGCCUAACACAUGCAAGUCGAGCGGCAGCACAGAGAAACUUGUUUCUCGGGUGGCGAGCGGCGGACGGGUGAGUAAUGCCUGGGAAAUUGCCCUGAUGUGGGGGAUAACCAUUGGAAACGAUGGCUAAUACCGCAUGAUAGCUUCGGCUCAAAGAGGGGGACCUUCGGGCCUCUCGCGUCAGGAUAUGCCCAGGUGGGAUUAG
rnacentral:rRNA from 1 species